CCCAGGGCUCGGCUUCCGGCGGUGGUGGCAGCUGAGGCCACGAGGCGAGGGCUAAAGGCCCAUCGGAAGUCACGUGGGAGCACGUCCACCCCACCCUUUCCGGUGGGCUCGGCCCUGGCCUCCAAUCCCCGAAAGGCUCUUUCUGCCAGCCCCGCCCCUCGCCCGGUCUGGAGCGGAAGUCACGUGGGCUCUCUGUCCUCCUGUUCCUGCCUCCCACACCUGGGGGCUGUUGGUGGUUCCAGCUGUUGGCCCUUGUGCAAGACCUCAUGGGGGACGGUGCACCAGGCAGCAGGCCCGGACUUCCUCCCCCAGCCCUGCAGGCACAGAUCCCAAGUAGCAAAACUGAUCCAGGACUUCAUCAGAUUUAGAAAGGGAGGAGGCAACAAGCAUUUAUUAAGUGCUUACUGUGUGCCAGCCCCUGCCCUACAGGGAGGUCUGGAGGGAUGUGAGGUGGAAGUCCAGAAAGUCAGUGAAAGGGCUGGACCAGGACCAAGAUGCCCUGGCCUGGGUUCUUCCUUUCACAAAGUGGAGGUUUCAGGAGGAACCUUGGCUCACAUGAGGCCAUUCCCUUCAACCCCCCCAUCUUACAUCACUCAGCCUUCUGCCACUGGUCCCUCCUUCCCUCUCUCCCUUCCUGCCAAGAUCAAUGCCUCUACAGGUGAUCCCAUUCCAUCCCAUGUCUUCUGUCUCUCCCUGCCUACUGGCUACUUUUCCAUUGUCUACAAACAUGCCCAUGUCUCCCUCAUCUUCAAAAACGUUCACUUGAUUCAUCCUUCCCCAGUAACUAGCAUCCCAUAUCUCUCUGGCCUUUUGUGCCUAAAUGCCUUGAGAAGCUUGUCUACAAUAGGCUCUUCCAUUCUUUCCUCUCUUUCUCGAUUUCUCUCUCCAAAGUCUGUUUUUCAACCUCAUCGUUCAACUGAACGUUCAACUGAAACUAUUUUUAAAGUUUCGAUGAUCUUGAUGGGGUGCUUGGGUGCUUGUGCUUGUACUUGGACCCCAAUUUCUCCCUAG
rnacentral:lncRNA from 1 species